UACCAACCCGAUGCAAACUGCGAAUACCGGAGAAUGUUAUCACGGGAGACACACGGCGGGUGCUAACGUCCGUCGUGAAGAGGGAAACAACCCAGACCGCCAGCUAAGGUCCCAAAGUCAUGGUUAAGUGGGAAACGAUGUGGGAAGGCCCAGACAGCCAGGAUGUUGGCUUAGAAGCAGCCAUCAUUUAAAGAAAGCGUAAUAGCUCACUGGUCGAGUCGGCCUGCGCGGAAGAUGUAACGGGGCUAAACCAUGCACCGAAGCUGCGGCAGCGACGCUGAUGCGUUGUUGGGUAGGGGAGCGUUCUGUAAGCCUGUGAAGGUGUGCUGUGAGGCAUGCUGGAGGUAUCAGAAGUGCGAAUGCUGACAUAAGUAACGAUAAAGCGGGUGAAAAGCCCGCUCGCCGGAAGACCAAGGGUUCCUGUCCAACGUUAAUCGGGGCAGGGUGAGUCGACCCCUAAGGCGAGGCCGAAAGGCGUAGUCGAUGGGAAACAGGUUAAUAUUCCUGUACUUGGUGUUACUGCGAAGGGGGGACGGAGAAGGCUAUGUUGGCCGGGCGACGGUUGUCCCGGUUUAAGCGUGUAGGCUGGUUUUCCAGGCAAAUCCGGAAAAUCAAGGCUGAGGCGUGAUGACGAGGCACUACGGUGCUGAAGCAACAAAUGCCCUGCUUCCAGGAAAAGCCUCUAAGCAUCAGGUAACAUCAAAUCGUACCCCAAACCGACACAGGUGGUCAGGUAGAGAAUACCAAGGCGCUUGAGAGAACUCGGGUGAAGGAACUAGGCAAAAUGGUGCCGUAACUUCGGGAGAAGGCACGCUGAUAUGUAGGUGAAGCGACUUGCUCGUGGAGCUGAAAUCAGUCGAAGAUACCAGCUGGCUGCAACUGUUUAUUAAAAACACAGCACUGUGCAAACACGAAAGUGGACGUAUACGGUGUGACGCCUGCCCGGUGCCGGAAGGUUAAUUGAUGGGGUCAGCGCAAGCGAAGCUCUUGAUCGAAGCCCCGGUAAACGGCGGCCGUAACUAUAACGGUCCUAAGGUAGCGAAAUUCCUUGUCGGGUAAGUUCCGACCUGCACGAAUGGCGUAAUGAUGGCCAGGCUGUCUCCACCCGAGACUCAGUGAAAUUGAACUCGCUGUGAAGAUGCAGUGUACCCGCGGCAAGACGGAAAGACCCCGUGAACCUUUACUAUAGCUUGACACUGAACAUUGAGCCUUGAUGUGUAGGAUAGGUGGGAGGCUUUGAAGUGUGGACGCCAGUCUGCAUGGAGCCGGCCUUGAAAUACCACCCUUUAAUGUUUGAUGUUCUAACGUUGACCCGUGAUCCGGGUUGCGGACAGUGUCUGGUGGGUAGUUUGACUGGGGCGGUCUCCUCCUAAAGAGUAACGGAGGAGCACGAAGGUUGGCUAAUCCUGGUCGGACAUCAGGAGGUUAGUGCAAUGGCAUAAGCCAGCUUGACUGCGAGCGUGACGGCGCGAGCAGGUGCGAAAGCAGGUCAUAGUGAUCCGGUGGUUCUGAAUGGAAGGGCCAUCGCUCAACGGAUAAAAGGUACUCCGGGGAUAACAGGCUGAUACCGCCCAAGAGUUCAUAUCGACGGCGGUGUUUGGCACCUCGAUGUCGGCUCAUCACAUCCUGGGGCUGAAGUAGGUCCCAAGGGUAUGGCUGUUCGCCAUUUAAAGUGGUACGCGAGCUGGGUUUAGAACGUCGUGAGACAGUUCGGUCCCUAUCUGCCGUGGGCGCUGGAGAACUGAGGGGGGCUGC
rnacentral:rRNA from 1 species